rnacentral:rRNA from 1 species
UACAGAGGUGGCAAACGUUGUCCGGAUUUAUUGGGUGUAAAGGGCAUGUAGGUGGUUCUAUAAGUCAAAGGUGAAAUGGCCCGGCUCAACCAGGUCAUUGCCUUUGAAACUGCAGAACUUGAGUACGGAAGAGGAAAGCGGAAUUCCCAGUGUAGCGGUGAAAUGCGUAGAGAUCAGGAAGAACAUCGGUGGCAAAGGCGCUCUGCUGGACCAUAACUGACACUCAGGGACGAAAGCUAGGGGAGCGAAUGGG